GUGGGGAAUAUUGCACAAUGGGUGAAAGCCUGAUGCAGCAACGCCGCGUGAGGGACGACGGCCUUCGGGUUGUAAACCUCUUUUAGUAGGGAAGAAGCGAAAGUGACGGUACCUGCAGAAAAAGCACCGGCUAACUACGUGCCAGCAGCCGCGGUAAUACGUAGGGUGCAAGCGUUAUCCGGAAUUAUUGGGCGUAAAGAGCUCGUAGGCGGUCUGUCGCGUCUGCUGUGAAAACUGGAGGCUCAACCUCCAGCCUGCAGUGGGUACGGGCAGACUAGAGUGCGGUAGGGGAGAUUGGAAUUCCUGGUGUAGCGGUGGAAUGCGCAGAUAUCAGGAGGAACACCGAUGGCGAAGGUAGAUCUCUGGGCCGUAACUGACGCUGAGGAGCGAAAGCGUGGGGAGCGAACAGGAUUAGAAACCCGUGUAGUCC
rnacentral:rRNA from 1 species